ACACACUUUCUCCAACAAGGCCACACCUUCUAAUCCUGCCGCUCCCUGGGCCAAGCAUAUGCAAACCAUCACAGGGGGUAACUAGUAUCCUGAAGAAAUAACACUCACACCCUUAGGAAGAUUAUCCAAGCCAUUUGAACUCAUAAUAGAGAAGCACAGCUUGAUUCUGCGUGCAAAAAUCUACAAGUCACCUGGUUUGGAGCCACCAUGAGUGAUUUGCCUUUGUUUUUACACUUGAUCUUAGCCAAAGGGCCGAGAAGCAAUUGCCUUUGUUUUUAAAGAAAAGAUUCCAAACAAGGAAUGCAUAGGAUUCUGAUAGUUUAUAUCAUCCCUCAAACCUUCACUGCCUCUCCUCCAUCUCAGAAAACCGGAGUCAGUAAAUGGAUGUAUGAUGUCCAUGGUUUAGUUAAAACGAAGCUCCAAAUCUGUCCAGGUCUCUGCUGUAGCAAAGCUGCUGACAUAGUUGUCACGUACCUUCUAAGAGAUGCCCCGAGGCAUCGCAUGGACCUAAGGCAUCGGAGCCACAGGGCCUGUGUUUGCAUUUUAUACUUAACUGAGCCUUGUAAGUAAAGUGGUUCAACUUAGGAAGGUUUUCUAAGCUAGUGGGUAGAGCAGAAGAGAUUUCUUGUAAUAGUUAAUAACCAGGAAGCUCAGGCUUUCUGAUUAAUUGUGGCUUUCCUCCGUCUUGGUAUUUGAUAGCUUUCCUACAGUUUGGUUCAAAAGCUACCUCGAUAUCAUUAAGUUAUGUUGCAGUGUUCAGUAUUUGAGUCUGUUCAGCAGGGACACUUGAAAAAUCACCAGCUAUUUUUAAAAGCUUGUUUGUUUUCACCAGCUGUUUUGGGUUAAGAGGGUGUUUACAUCUUGAUGUACAGAAUGAAACAGCUAUAAGUAAUUUUUCCUGUAUACACUGCCAUCUUUCAUUACUUGGAAUGUCAUCCCCGAGAAGGUACAUGACAGCCAUGAUGUUAUGGUCCUAGAGAAUCUGUUCAGUGUCCUUGUGAGGUGUGUGUGGCUGUGUUCAUCCUGUGUGGAUGCAAUGGAGUAGCCUCGACUUACGUGUCCCAUAGCUAAGCACAUGUGUUCUAAUCAUGCCUCGGGCUCUUUGACUCUAUUUGUGCAACAGUCUUUCCCAGUGUGUGUUAAUGGAUGUUUAUCUUAAUUAAGCCAGCUCUGAAAUGCUGCCUGUUGGCUGUGCCAAGAACAGACAAUGUCAUAAUCUAAAAGUAUUUGCUUACUUUAUUGGUCUGGGUUUGAAACAUUCAUACUGAGUCUUUCCCUGAAAGAACAACAUGCCAAGAAAAGCAUUAACAAAAUCUGUUAACAAAAUCUGAACAGAAAGGGAGACAGACCAGAGUAGUGAAGUACAAAGAAGGGCUCGGAGGGUGUGACUCGGUGUCCAGAAGCUAGGGUCAGAAGGGAGCAAGUUAGACAGGGUCCUGUCAAAGAUAAAACAAAUUCCAGAUAAGACCUCUUGUUCUGAUGAAUUUGGUAAAAAUGUUCUUACUUGGGGUCCUGGGGGCGCUAAAAUGAGCAGAACUCCUAAACAGACACUGUAUUUGCACAUUGUGUGGAUUAUCUAUUUGUUGCAGGUUUCCAUUUCUCUCUCUCUCUCCCUCUCCCUCCCUCCCCCCCCCCUCUCUCUCUGUCGUGUGUGUGUGUGUGUGUGUGUGUGUGUGUGUGUGUGUGUGUGUGUGUGUGCGCGCGCGCGUAUGCAUGAUCAUGUGUGGGGAUUUUAUUUUGCUCCUAUAAUUAAGAAUUCUUGCCCUGAGCUAAGAACACAUACCUGUUAAAGCUUGAAAAUCCGUUUGAGACAAGUGAAUUAUGGAGAACUUUUACCCAGUUGUAAUUUAGAAAACAGAUGUUCUAUUCCAGGUUUACUACAAUUAUUUUUGCAAUGUAGGUUGUUUUGCACACCUGACUCAAGCCUGGAAGAGUACAUUUUGGUUAGGUCAUGUCAGGAAUGUCUCUCAGCUGUGGCUUUGCCAGGCUCUACAGAGGCCCCUCUGGUGCAGACCCAGGGUGACUUCUCUGUGCUCUUGUAGUGUGCUGAGGCCCAGAUGGAUACUUACUUGGCUUAACCUAAGGACACACUCUGAACUGCUGGAUUUCCAGGGGAGCAUGUGGAGUAUGUGCUUGUCACUCGCUAUUCAACAAACUGAAGUCACUUUGUUAGAGCUGCCAUGAAGUUAAAGAAUAAAUAAAUAAUUUCAAAAGCAUCCACCAUGUGACCAAAGUGAACACUUCGGCUCACCACAGACCACAGGUCACUCCUGAGUGCUGCACUCUACGUCAUGGUCAGGGUCUCUUAGUCUUUUUCUCCACUGCUCGAGGAAGUGGAACCAUAAACACUGGUGAGUAGAACCUGUUCUGUUGUUCAAGUUGGAUUUAAUAAUUUAAUAAUAUCCUCACUGAAGAUCAGCAAGAGAAUCCCCUGCAACCCUAAGGGUUCUGAAUGGGUUAGUGAGGACCAAGCAGGCAGGAGUGCGGCAAAAAUAUGUAAGUGCCACUUGCGAGAGGCGUUUGAUCAUGUUCAUCCUGCUCUGGGGCUGCUGGCUGAUAGCAGCCCCUGCUGCUGACUCUUAAGUCAUGUCCAGGAACCUCUAGGCAGGUGAAAUUCAGUAAGUGUUGGCCCCUGUGUGCUUGGAAGCCAUAUGCAUCCUGUUUAUAAUAGUGGCUGUGAUUGACACAUUGGUACCUGGUGUCCUGUGCUUUGGCAAUGCUGGUGUGUAAACAGUUACCUCUGCACACCUGAGAGACUCUAAGAGACUACAGAGAGGAGUUCCUGGAUCAGUACUGUAGCAUCACAAAUCCUUCCUAGCAUUGCCUUGGCAACAAACAGUAUUUUCAGCCCAGCCUCACCCCUGGUUCACAUUUGCCCUUUUCUACUGUAUUCCAUGGCACAGCAAUGCAGGCGUCACCCAAGUUCACGGGACUCAGUCAGGGACCAUCUGAGAUCAGGAGACAGGAAUUGUGCCUUCCAUACCCAUGAGGGUCCUCCGACUUCCCCAGCUCUGUCUUGGCCAUCUGACUGUUUUAUGCCAGCGCUCUGUGUCAAGGCUAGGUUACAAACAACCUUGCCUAACGGUGAACAAACAAUAUGUUGCCUUUGUACAUUGCGCUCCAGUAAUGCUUAUCUGUGCCUUUAGUAUUUCUGUGUGGUGUACCUUAAGGCAGCCUGGGAGCAGGAAACACCACCUCAUUUCAUUUGAGAGAACAAAACGUGGGUCAAUAAUGACUUUGGAUGGUACCAUGCCAAUUGGCAGUGGUAUUGAGUUGCCACUUGGGUUUGGGUUUUUAUUUAGAAGUUGGUGCACAUCUGUCUAUGCUGUCUUGUGUCUCAGAAGGGAAAUUCUUGGCAUAUAUAAUAGCAGUAGAGAGAGUAUAGAGCAGACAUAGAAGGAAAAUAGAAUUGUGUGUUCUACAACAUGUCUCUGGGUAUAGCCAUGUUGUCUUCACAGCAAUCUCGAAGGCAUUCUUUCCUACAGAUGAGCUGUCCAAGCCCUAAAGAUGUCACACGGCUUCACCCACAGCCAGUGUGGUCCUUGGUUGGCACCAGGAUUGUAACCCGGAUUGAUCUCACUAAGAACUCAUGCUCUUAGCUACUAGAUAGUCUUAAACCACAUCACAUAGGAGCCUGUAUAACCACAUGUGUAUGCAGGUAUACACUUUUUACAUGCUAAACAGUCAAUGCCAACUUCUGUGGUAAGACAUCCUGAAAGGAAUAAAAUAGUUGGCUAAAAUCCCUGAACUUCUAACCAUAACAGGACAGAUGCUCAAGGGUAUGGGAUUAGAGCACCUAGGUCAAGGCAUCCAGACAUUUUAGUGUUUGUGUUAUUGGUGAGUCACAUGUUACAGGCCCUUGCUUUCCUAAGAUGCUGCCAGAAUACUCUGGUUCUUUGGCUUGGAGUAAUUUUGUGACAAUUCUGCUGAGAGUCUCUAUGUGUGAAAACAGGAAACAGGGAAUAGCUUUCUACCACUGCGACUGCUUGGAUUUAGACUCCCUGGUUCUCUCCUACUUGUGCUGUGAUCUUACAGGUUUCUGAAACCUUUCUGCCUUAGUUUUCUCCUGUGCACACUGAGUAUGGUUGUGAUUGUAAAGUGAAUGGAUAUAGGGAAAGCCCUGGGACCAGCACCAGGCAGAAAGCCAUGGCCACCAUGCUCAUGAAUGUGAUAAAUCUUUGCACAAAGCUCUUUAGAAGCCUUCCCUAGGGGAGGAUUCUGUUGCAAUGUCUAGCAUGCGGUGGUGCCCUAGCCAGACACAUGUGUGGACUUACGGACAGAGCAUACAUCCAAAGAGGGAAAGGAAUUGAGUGACCCAUGCCUGCUGUAUGUCGGGUGCUCUGUUGAGGAAAUAUUUCAUUACACACUUUAAUAACCUGAAGAAGGGAUGUAGUGUUACCGUGAGAGGUAAGCGAUGCCUUUCAGUCUCCCUCCCAGUCUCAAGGCACAGGUAUGCUGGGGAUCCCUGUCCUAUCCAGUAUGGCACAAGAAUCCAGGCAUCAACAGACUUUGCUUUGAAUAUAGCUGUCUGUGUACCUGACAGUCCCGGAUGCUACCUUCCCUGGUGCCUCUGUGAGUCCCUAUUGAUAGGAAGGUGAGAGGGAGGAAGUGAGCAGCCAGCAGCCUGCAGCCUACAGUUCUGUCAACCGAAAGGCAUUCUUGAAAAGUACAAAUAUAGCACGGCUAUAAAAAGAUUAAGGUGCACUGCUCUGAAAACUGAGAACCAGUAGGGAGUGCCAUGGUGGCCAACUGACAAAGUGGAGAAGCAAAUUUUGCAAAACUGGAAAACCAGGGAAAGUCAGGCUAAGUGGAGACGCUGACAAAUCAGACUACAGCUAGCCAGGCCUGAACUAGAGGCUGGCAAGCAGAAAACGGUAAGCGGUGAGGCUCCCUGAGGGAUUCCAGUGAGUUCUCUUUCUUUGGAAGCAUGACAGGGGUCCUGGGGACCAGUGAACUGUCACCAUGGGCUGGGGUGUUUCUGCCCUGCUCACUAGCACUGCAGAACUGAGGUGGAGUGCAGGGAGGCUCCCUCCUUGGCCUGUGGGCUUCCUUUUUAACCUCUACUGUCCUCCUCUCUCCCUUUUCUCCACCACUGUGUGACCUCCCCACCUAGGCCUCCCCAGCCUGUGGUUCAGAGCUUCAAGGCAGAUCUCCCAGUAAGCUGUCCUGCACCGCUGCUACUGAGGACAAAGCAAGCAAAGGUCUUUUCUGACUUUGGUUUAGAGGUAAUCAUACUUCAGGCUUUUACUUCACUGUAAACCCUGCCUGUAGCGUAACAUUAUAAUCUUAAUUCAACUGUUGCUAUUCUGUGUGUGGCCUGGCAUCCAGAAAUUAGGUAAAGAGCUGCACAGAGAGAAUGCCAGAGGGGAAACUUGGAGGCCUGCCAGGCUGCAAUCCUCACGGAACUGUGUUCUUGUAUGGGCUAGAGGCCCUGCAGGUGAGAAGGACAGUUAGGCAAGAUAGCAAAAAGAGCCAUGUAUGUGUGUCCUGACCCCCAACCCAAAGCAGAAGCAGAACCCUGAGGGCUUUUAGAAAUCUAAAAGGAUUUCCUUCAACUUUUAAAAAAAUUACACAUUCUAUAUUGUGCACGUCUGUGCCACAGUGUAUGUAUGGAGUCAGAGAGCACUGGGAAUCAGCUCUACAUCCCACCAUGUGGUUCCAGUGACGGCGCCGUUCUGCUGAGCCAUGGCAACAACUUGCUCACUCACUGUUGCAUCAAGGAGUGACAAGCCUGUUCCCAUAGACCUUGGCUAUGGCAGGACAUUCUGGGUAAAUGGUAAGCUGCUUGUAAACAUCCUAGCAGUCUCGGGUGUACUAAUGUUCCCCUGACCUGCCACCAGCACGGAAGAGAAAAACUUCUCCAAGCAUUCAUGCAUUCAUUCUUUUUAAUGUGACAUUUUGCUUUAGGAGGUGACACAAAACCAUGGUUUUCUGGAGUCGUUUGUUGUCGCUGCUACCAUCCUCUGGCUCAGGAGCAGCUAGGCUUCUUGGCACCACUGCUCAGCAUUCCAUCUCCAGUGUCCAAGCGCUUUCCACCCAGAGGCCAUGCCACCAAGACUGCUCAGCUGCCUGCUGGUAGAGUCUGUCAUUCCAUCCAGGGUGUUCCAGUCCAGUUGUUGAGACAGGCGUCCAGGAGAAUACCAAGGACUCUAGCAGGCUGCCUGAACCGAUCCUCACUGAUGAUCUAGACAGAAGGAGUUCAGACCGAAGUCACCACCCAACCAGGUCACUGAAGUUCACAGGAGGAAGCCCUGAAGUCUGGUUUUUCAAGUCCCCUCCUCACACAGCUGGGGCGACAGUUUACACUGAGGUGCCCAAGACUCCACCACACCACUCCAUUAGACCUGGCCUAUGGCCUACAGACUUAUCCCUCCACCAAGAGCCCUGGAGGACAAGAGUGGGGACAAGAGAGGAAAAGAUGGCUGGCCAGAGGGAGGGAAGGAAGGAGGCAGAAGGACCAAGGUGAAGAUUCCUGUCUACCAAACUUCUGAUCAACAACCUGAAACGGUACGUUCUAGACUUGAAGAGUUGAGCUUUCUCAACACAAGAGAAGAGGAACUGAAUUCACCUCCCAACAGCCUCAGCAGCAGCUCACAGGUAACUUUAGCUCCAGGGAAUCUAGUGCCUGCUUCUGGCCUCUGAAGGCAGCCACAUUCACAUGCAUGGGGGCAGACACCACAUGUAUGUCAACCUAAAAGCCAAGCCUCCCCACCCCCAAGAAUAAAGUCUCUUUGAAAUUUAGAAAAAAUAACCUUUAAGAGUAUUCUAGCUGUGGUGUGCUUUAAAAAAUUAUUGUGGCUUUUUUUUUUAAAUCACUACAUAGCUCAGACUAGUCUUGAAUUCUAUCCUCCUGCUGCAGUCUUCCAAGUGCUGGGAUGACAGACUUGUGCCAGAAUACUCUCUAUUGUAAUUUUUUUAUUGUUGUAGCAAAAAUACGACACAUUUUGCCAUCUUAAUGUGGCAUUUGUUACAGGCACAGCAUUGGAUGAGCAUCACUGCUACCAUUUCCAAAACUCUUUCAUUGCUCUGAAUGGAAACACAUAGACCAGAAACUCCCAUCCUGCCACCUUUAAUCUACUUUUUGUCUUACAAGUUUGUCAAUCACAGAUAAUUCCAUAUUUGAAAUAAUAUACUAUAUGAAGGGGGCCGCCUGGCUUCUUUCACUCAGCACUGUCUCCAAGGCUCAGUCACGAUGUAGCAUGUGACAGGACAUGGCUCUUCCAUGCACUCAAACACUAGUUUAUCAUGGUUACCUGCCAUGUUUAUGACUUGUCGUCUGAAGAUGGGCAUCGAGUUGCCUCAUUAUUAUAUGCAGGGUUGAAGACAGUAAACUGUCUGCGAGGCUUUGACAGCAACACAGCCAAACCAGAACUACUGACCAGAGGACCAUCAGGGUCACAGCCUUGAAGGAGAGACAACACCCACCCUUCAACAUAGCAAAGCACCCAACCAUCUUCUCGGGAAGACAGAACCACCUUUAACCCACACACACAACUCCUAAGGUCCCUACCAGAUGCUCCACCAAGGCUUUUGUCUGUGAGGCAACUAAGCAAAUAGAUUAGUGAAGGGCCCUGUUUGGAGAGUGGAGAGUCCUUGACUGUUCACUGAUGGAGACAAUGGAAGGAGACAAUAGGAAGGAAAGGGGACAGAAGCCCUGGGUCAACUACUCCUUAGAAAUACAGCCUGGACAGGAAACUUGGUAUGCCCAAGAGAAAACCAAGAUAAAAGAGAACAGGAAGCCAAGCUCUUGGGCGUCAGCCUCGUGGCCAUUCUAAAACUCUGCGCCUCAAUGGAGCCAUAUCCCUUAUCUGCAUACUCUAGACUCAUCUCUAAUCUCAGAGAAUGUCUCUUCUCCACGUGCACUCUCUACCGAAUGCUCACUGACCGAUCCUCUGUUUCAGGCUCUGGCUAGCAGCCCUCUUAUCACACCUGACACUGAAGCAGCAAUGACAAUCUUGUCACAAAGACUAACAAGGGCUUAAUGAGGCAGCCAAUAGGAACAGCCUGGACUCCAGUUGGGCGUGAAGUCAGUUCCAGUUGUGGACCAGCACUGCGUACUCCUGUGUCCAUCACCUGAGCGAACUGUGAUGCUCAGGUCUUGGCAAUGUCCCCUGCCACUGGGAGGAAGCCCUCUGGGCGGCAUGUCAGGGAG
rnacentral:sRNA from 1 species